UACGGAGGGGGCUAGCGUUAUUCGGAAUUAUUGGGCGUAAAGGGCGCGUAGGCGGCCCGGUAAGUCAAAGGUGAAAUCCCUCGGCUCAACUGAGGAACUGCCUUUGAGACUGUCGGGCUUGAGGCCGGGAGGGGGUAGCGGAAUUCCCAGUGUAGCGGUGAAAUGCGUAGAUAUCUGGAGGAACACCGGUGGCGAAGGCGGCGUUCUGGACUGCAACUGACACUGAGGAACGAAAGCCAGGGGAGCAAACGGG
rnacentral:rRNA from 1 species